GCAAAGCGUCCUGAAAUGAAGUUUGAUUAUUUGAAUGUGCCUGAUAGGAUCGAAUGGGUUCUUGAGGAUGCAAAUGAAGAUGCUUGGACUCCCUUCAUUGGAGGCAAAAAGGGUANNNNNNNNNAAAUUGGGAGUUCGAGAUGCUUCAUUUGCACCACUAACUGCUAGAAGCAGUGGCGAAACAAUGUUUCGAAGCCUUUCAGAAUUCUGCCCCCAAUUCAUCAAAUGGUAGUCUCACACAGGCCAAUCAAAGUUCUCUCUCUCUCUCUCUUAUUAUUAUUUUUUCUACAUCUUUGUGCCCACAAAAUGGAUGUGCACCAGUUCUAAAUGACACCAACUGAAUAGUGAUUUAGCAUUUUUUUUCCCCG
rnacentral:misc_RNA from 1 species